AGCUGGCUUAAUUCCCCUCCUCUUGAUGGGGUACUGGCCUUAGUGACAAACAGAAUAUGAUGAAAACAAAGGGCAUGACGCUGGAGACCAGGUCAUAGAGGGCAUUGAGGCUUCCUCCUUGCCCUGUUGCCUGAAUCACUCACUCUGGGCAAAGCAGUGGCCAUCUUGUGAGAUAAUUUCAAGAGGGCACUCAAGCCAUCCUAUGGAGAGGCCCAUCUGGUGAGGAACAGAAGGUUCCAGACAACAGCCCACAAGAAUAACUGAGGCCUUCAGUCAAGAACCAAAUGACGCUGUCAGGAGUCUUCCAGAUCAUAAUUGGAAUGCCAUCUGGGUUAGGAUCUCCUAUGGAUAGAUAAACACAACAAGAGGGCAAAACUUGAUCAAGGCAACCCUCCAUAUUGUCCUGUGGCUUGCUUUGCCCAACAGAACACAGCAGAAGUGACUUUCUGGGACUUCCAAGUUCAGGUCUCAAGGGAGCUGGCACUUUAUUUCCCAUACCUUGGAACCCUGACCCAUCAUGUAAGAAGUCCAGACUACACUGCUGGAGAGAGGCCAUGUGGAGGGACCCUGGAGGAUGAGAUAUCAUAUGGAGAGAGAGGCCACAAGGAAGAGCGUUAAGGCAUGAGACAUGUGAGCAAAGAAGUACUUGUAUGCUCUAGACCCAACCACUAUGACUGCAAUCACACAAGAACCCCCAAAGAAGACCAGAACCACCCAGCUAAACCCUUGACAAACCAAGGAAUCAUGAGAAGUAAUAAAAUUUUUAUUGUUUUAAGCCACUAAGUUUUGGGACUUUUUAAUAUAACAAUAGAUAACUAAGACAGAAAUUGAAAUCUGGAAGCGCGGUGCUAUUGUUACAAAAACCUAAAACACACGUGGCAUUGGCUUUGGGCCCAGCUGGAGGGUAAAGGCCAGAAGGGCCUUGAGGAAACUGUAAAUGAAGCUGGAAGGGCAGUGAUAAAAUUGUUACUGUCCUGGAGAAAAGGCAACCCUUGUUACGUAGUGGUGGAAAGUCUGACAACACUGUUGACCGUGGUAACAUGCAAGAUAGAAAACACAUUUAAUGAACUUGUGAAUAUGGCUAAGGAGAUCUGCUGGCAGAAUGCCACAAGUAUCAAUUGGUUUCUUUCAGUUACAAUAGUGAAAUACG
rnacentral:lncRNA from 1 species